rnacentral:rRNA from 1 species
UACGUAGGGAGCAAGCGUUGUUCGGAUUUACUGGGCGUAAAGGGCGCGUAGGCGGCAGAUCAAGUCAGCUGUGAAAUCUCCGAGCUUAACUCGGAAAGGUCAACUGAUACUGUGCGGCUAGAGUGCGGAAGGGGCAACUGGAAUUCUUGGUGUAGCGGUGAAAUGCGUAGAUAUCAAGAGGAACACCUGCGGCGAAGGCGGGUUGCUGGGCCGACACUGACGCUGAGGCGCGAAAGCCAGGGGAGCGAACGGG